rnacentral:rRNA from 1 species
AUAUACGACCGUACCGCAAACCGACACUGGUGCGCGAGAUGAGUAUUCUAAGGCGCUUGAGAGAACUCAGGAGAAGGAACUCGGCAAAUUGACACCGUAACUUCGGAAGAAGGUGUGCCCUAUUAGUGUGUAGUGAACAACGAAGCAUGAAUGGGUUGCAAAAAAUCGGUGGCUGCGACUGUUUAUUAAAAACACAGCACUCUGCAAACACGAAAGUGGACGUAUAGGGUGUGACGCCUGCCCGGUGCUGGAAGAUUAAAUGAUGGGGUGCAAGCUCUUGAUUGAAGUCCCAGUAAACGGCGGCCGUAACAAUAACGGUCCUAAGGUAGCGAAAUUCCUUGUCGGGUAAGUUCCGACCUGCACGAAUGGCGUAACGAUGGCCACACUGUCUCCUCCUGAGACUCAGCAAAGUUGAAAUGUUUGUGAUGAUGCAAUCUCCCCGCGGAAAGACGGAAAGACCCCAUGAACCUUUACUGUAGCUUUGUAUUGGACUUUGAACAGAUCUGUGUAGGAUAGGUGGGAGGCUUUGAAGCAGGGUCGCUAGAUCUUGUGGAGCCAACGCUGAAAUACCACCCUGGUGUGUUUGAGGUUCUAACCUAGGUCCAUUAUCUGGAUCGGGGACAGUGCAUGGUAGGCAGUUUGACUGGGGCGGUCUCCUCCCAAAGCGUAACGGAGGAGUUCGAAGGUACGCUAGUUACGGUCGGACAUCGUGACGAUAGUGCAAUGGCAUAAGCGUGCUUAACUGCGAGACUGACAAGUCGAGCAGAUGCGAAAGCAGGACAUAGUGAUCCGGUGGUUCUGUAUGGAAGGGCCAUCGCUCAACGGAUAAAAGGUACUCUGGGGAUAACAGGCUGAUACCGCCCAAGAGUUCAUAUCGACGGCGGAGUUUGGCACCUCGAUGUCGGCUCAUCUCAUCCUGGGGCUGUAGCCGGUCCCAAGGGUAUGGCUGUUCGCCAUUUAAAGAGGUACGUGAGCUGGGUUUAAAACGUCGUGAGACAGUUUGGUCCCUAUCUUCCGUGGGCGCUGCAGAUUUGAGGAAGCCUGCUCCUAGUACGAGAGGACCGGAGUGGACACACCUCUGGUGUAUCGGUUGUCACGCCAGUGGCAUUGCCGAGUAGCUAAGUGUGGAAGAGAUAACCGCUGAAAGCAUCUAAGCGGGAAACUCGUUUCAAGAUGAGAUCUGCCGGGGCCUUGAGCCCCCUAAAGAGUCGUUCAAGACCAGGACGUUGAUAGGUCAGGUGUGGAAGCGAA